rnacentral:rRNA from 1 species
UACGUAGGGGGCAAGCGUUGUCCGGAAUCAUUGGGCGUAAAGCGCACGUAGGCGGCCAACUAAGUCGGACGUGAAAUCCCCAGGCUCAACCUGGGAACUGCGUCUGAUACUGGAUGGCUUGAAUCCGGGAGAGGGAUGCAGAAUUCCAGGUGUAGCGGUGAAAUGCGUAGAUAUCUGGAGGAAUACCGGUGGCGAAGGCGGCAUCCUGGACCGGCAUUGACGCUGAGGAGCGAAAGCCAGGGGAGCAAACGGG